rnacentral:rRNA from 1 species
GAGUUUGAUUAUGGCUCAGAACGAACGCUGGCGGCGCGUUUUAAGCAUGCAAGUCGAAUGGAAAAUAGCUUUCGGGUUAUUGGACAUGGCGGACUGGUGAGUAACACGUAGAUAAUCUGCCCUUGAGUUGGGGAUACCUUAUGGAAACAUGAGAUAAUACCGAAUGAGGUCUUUUUUGCGUAGGCGAGAAAGAUGAAAGGAGCUACGGCUUCGCUUGAGGAUGAGUCUGCGGCUCAUUAGCUAGUUGGUGGGGUAACGGCCUACCAAGGCGAUGAUGAGUAGCCGGCCUGAGAGGGUGAUCGGCCACAUUGGGACUGAGAUACGGCCCAAACUCCUACGGGAGGCAGCAGCUAAGAAUCUUCCGCAAUGGACGAAAGUCUGAUCGGAGCGACGCCGCGUGCAUGAUGAAGGCAGAGAUNUUGUAAAGUGCUUUUAUUGGGGAAGAAUAAUGAGGGUAGGAAAUGACCUUCAGAUGACAUAACCGGANCGNUUCCC